AACGUAGGAGACAAACGUUAUCCGGAGUUACUGGGCGUAAAGGGCGUGUAGGUGGUUGCGUAAGUCUGGCGUGAAAUUUUUCGGCUUAACCGGGAAAGGUCGUCGGAUACUGCGUAGCUAGAGGACGGUAGAGGCGUGUGGAAUUCCGGGUGUAGUGGUGAAAUGCGUAGAUAUUCGGAGGAACACCAGUGGCGAAGGCGGCUCACUGGCUCGACACUGACGCUGAGGUGCGAAAGCGUGGGGAGCAAACAGG
rnacentral:rRNA from 1 species